rnacentral:rRNA from 1 species
CCUACGGGGGGCAGCGGUCGAGAAUCAUUCACAAUGGGGGAAACCCUGAUGGUGCGACGCCGCGUGGGGGAAUGAAGGUCUUCGGAUUGUAAACCCCUGUCAUGUGGGAGCAAAUUAAAAAGAUAGUACCACAAGAGGAAGAGACGGCUAACUCUGUGCCAGCAGCCGCGGUAAUACAGAGGUCUCAAGCGUUGUUCGGAAUCACUGGGCGUAAAGCGUGCGUAGGCUGUUUCGUAAGUCGUGUGUGAAAGGCGCGGGCUCAACCCGCGGACGGCACAUGAUACUGCGAGACUAGAGUAAGGGAGGGGGAACCGGAAUUCUCGGUGUAGCAGUGAAAUGCGUAGAUAUCGAGAGGAACACUCGUGGCGAAGGCGGGUUCCUGGACAUUAACUGACGCUGAGGCACGAAGGCCAGGGGAGCGAAAGGGAUUAGAUACCCUAGUAGUC